rnacentral:rRNA from 1 species
AACGAACGCUGGCGGCAGGCUUAACACAUGCAAGUCGAACGCAUCCUUCGGGGUGAGUGGCAGACGGGUGAGUAACGCGUGGGAACGUGCCCUUCAGUUCGGGAUAACCCAGGGAAACUUGGGCUAAUACCGGAUACGUGCGAGAGCAGAAAGAUUUAUCGCUGAAGGAUCGGCCCGCGUCUGAUUAGCUAGUUGGUGGGGUAAUGGCCCACCACGGCGACGAUCAGUAGCUGGUCUGAGAGGAUGAUCAGCCACACUGGGACUGAGACACGGCCCAGACUCCUACGGGAGGCAGCAGUGGGGAAUAUUGGACAAUGGGCGCAAGCCUGAUCCAGCCAUGCCGCGUGAGUGAUGAAGGCCCUAGGGUUGUAAAGCUCUUUCACCGGUGAAGAUAAUGACGGUAACCGGAGAAGAAGCCCCGGCUAACUUCGUGCCAGCAGCCGCGGUAA